rnacentral:rRNA from 1 species
GACAGCAGCCGCCGCGGUAAUACGGAGGGUGCAAGCGUUAUUCGGAAUUACUGGGCGUAAAGCGCACGCAGGCGGUUGCCCAAGUCAGAUGUGAAAGCCCCGGGCUUAACCUGGGAACUGCAUUUGAAACUGGGCGACUAGAGUAUGAAAGAGGAAAGCGGAAUUUCCAGUGUAGCAGUGAAAUGCGUAGAUAUUGGAAGGAACACCGAUGGCGAAGGCAGCUUUCUGGGUCGAUACUGACGCUCAUGUGCGAAAGCGUGGGGAGCAAACAGGAUUAGAUACCCCCGUAGUCCCUGUCUCUUAUAC